rnacentral:SRP_RNA from 1 species
GCUGGGUGUGGUGGCACACGCCUGUAAUCCCAGCUACUUGGGGGCUGAGGCAGGAGAAUUGCUUGAGCCCGGGAGGCAGAGGUUGCAGUGAGCUGAGAUCGUGCCACUGCACUCCAGCUUGGCUGUCAAAAAAAAAAAAGCUCUGAGAUUUAACUCAUACUUAGGAUGUCACCAGUCAGAGAUUUUUUUUUUUUUUAAGACGGAGUCUUGCUCUGUGUCACCUAGGCUGGAGUGCAGUGGCAUGAUCUCAGCUCACUGCCACCUCUGGCUCCUGAAAUCAAGGAAUUAUCCUGCCCU